AUCAUACACUCGCCUAUUU
rnacentral:snRNA from 1 species